rnacentral:lncRNA from 14 species
AGUGAUGCAGUGUUGUUUUGAUAAGCAGCUGCAUUCUCACAUAAAUCCAUAUGGUGUGAACAAGACCACUGUAAUGACUGGGAAGUAGAGCCUCGCUUAAGAUGGGGGUUUAAAGGAACUUGAUCUAGGAAAAUGCAAACUGAGAAAGAUCAUGCAAGGGCUUUGCAAAUAUGUUUUUGUGCUUAAACACCUAAGAGAAGGAAGCCCUCAAAGUGUGAAAACACAUCUACAGGAUACCUGACACGUGGUGGCCAGGAUUGUCAUCCCUAGUGAUUUAAAAAGAUAGACUGAUCUCUGAAGAUAGUGUAUCAAUCAGUCAAUAUACCCACAGCAAGAACCUCAAGAAACCCUUUUCUUUUUCUUUGAAUAUGUCAGAUAUGCAUGUAAGGAGACACCUAGGCAAGGCAUCGAAAGCAUGGGAAGAGAGAACCUUCACUUCAAUGUAGCUGUAAACUGAACUGGUUUUUAGAGUGUCAGGUUAGUAACUUCUUAUAAUAAACUUCUGCUGUAUUCAGAGUGAGUUACA